UGCCCACUGAUUUAUUAAAGGGCUGCAGUAAUUUGACUGUACAAAGGUAGCAUAAUCAUUAGUCAUUUAAUUGAUGACUUGAAUGAAGGAUUGAAUGAAAUAUAAACUGUCUCUAUGUUAAUUUAUAUAAUUUAAUUUUUUAAUUAAAAAGUUAAAAUAAUUUAAAAAGACGAGAAGACCCUAUAGAGUUUUAUUUAUUGGUUAAUUAUUAUUGUUUUUAAGAUUAAAAUUUAAAUUAAUUAAUAAAUUUAGUUGGGGUGAUAGAAAAAUUAAAUUAACUUUUUUUUAAUUAAUAACAUAAAUAAAUGAUUAUUUGAUCCAUUAAUAAUGAUUAUAAGAAAAAAUUACCUUAGGGAUAACAGCGUAAUUUUUUUUUUUAGUUCAAAUAAGAAAAAGAGUUUGCGACCUCGAUGUUGGAUUAAGAUAAAAUUUAAAUGUAGAAGUUUAAAAUUUUUGA
rnacentral:rRNA from 1 species